AGAACGAACGCUGGCGGCAUGCCUAACACAUGCAAGUCGAACGCGUGGCCGGACUUCGGUUUGGCCAUGAGUGGCGCACGGGUGAGUAGCGCGUGGGAACCUGCCCUGUUGUGGGGGAUAACCGAGGGAAACUUCGGCUAAUACCGCAUACGCCCUGGUGAGCGAUCAUCGGGGGAAAGAUUUAUCGCAACAGGAGGGGCCCGCGUCGGAUUAGCUAGUUGGUGGGGUAACGGCCCACCAAGGCGAUGAUCCGUAGCUGGUCUGAGAGGAUGAUCAGCCACACUGGGACUGAGACACGGCCCAGACUCCUACGGGAGGCAGCAGUGGGGAAUAUUGGACAAUGGGCGCAAGCCUGAUCCAGCAAUGCCGCGUGAGUGAUGAAGGCCUUCGGGUUGUAAAGCUCUUUCGCCCGCGACGAUGAUGACGGUAGCGGGAGAAGAAGCCCGGCUAACUUCGUGCCAGCAGCCGC
rnacentral:rRNA from 1 species